rnacentral:tRNA from 6 species
GGAGACGUGCCAGAGUGGCCGAUUGGGGCUCCCUGCUAAGGAGUUGUCUGCAUUGCGCGGACCGGAGGUUCGAAUCCUCUCGUCUCCG